UACGAAGGGGGCUAGCGUUGCUCGGAAUUACUGGGCGUAAAGCGCACGUAGGCGGCUCUUUAAGUCGGAGGUGAAAUCCUGGAGCUCAACUCCAGAACUGCCUUCGAUACUGAAGAGCUCGAGUCCGGGAGAGGUGAGUGGAACUGCGAGUGUAGAGGUGAAAUUCGUAGAUAUUCGCAAGAACACCAGUGGCGAAGGCGGCUGUCUGGUCCGGUUCUGACGCUGAGGCGCGAAAGCGUGGGGAGCAAACAGG
rnacentral:rRNA from 1 species